AACGAACGCUGGCGGCAGGCCUAACACAUGCAAGUCGAGGGGGAAGCCACUUUCGGGUGGUGGAGACCGGCGCACGGGUGAGUAACGCGUGGGAACCUACCCUGGGGUGGGGGAUAACCGCUGGAAACGGCGGCUAAUACCGCAUACGCCUUGAGAGGGAAAGAUUUAUCGCCCUGGGACGGGCCCGCGUUGGAUUAGCUUGUUGGUGAGGUAAAGGCUCACCAAGGCUGCGAUCCAUAGCUGGUCUGAGAGGAUGAUCAGCCACACUGGGACUGAGACACGGCCCAGACUCCUACGGGAGGCAGCAGUGGGGAAUAUUGGACAAUGGGGGCAACCCUGAUCCAGCCAUGCCGCGUGCGUGAAGAAGGCCUUAGGGUUGUAAAGCGCUUUCACCGGUGAAGAUGAUGACGGUAGCCGGAGAAGAAGCCCCGGCUAACUCCGUG
rnacentral:rRNA from 1 species